CCUACGGGCGGCAGCAGUGAGGAAUAUUGGUCAAUGGACGAGAGUCUGAACCAGCCAAGCAGCGUGAAGGAUGACUGCCCUAUGGGUUGUAAACUUCUUUUAUAUGGGAAUAAAAUGUUCCACGUGUGGGAUUUUGUAUGUACCAUAUGAAUAAGGAUCGGCUAACUCCGUGCCAGCAGCCGCGGUAAUACGGAGGAUCCGAGCGUUAUCCGGAUUUAUUGGGUUUAAAGGGAGCGUAGGUGGAUUGUUAAGUCAGUUGUGAAAGUUUGCGGCUCAACCGUAAAAUUGCAGUUGAAACUGGCAGUCUUGAGUACAGUAGAGGUGGGCGGAAUGCGUGGUGUAGCGGUGAAAUGCUUAGAUAUCACGAAGAACUCCGAUUGCGAAGGCAGUUCACUGGACUGCAACUGACACUGAGGCUCGAAAGUGUGGGUAUCAAACAGGAUUAGAUACCCCAGUAGUC
rnacentral:rRNA from 1 species